CGGAUCCGCGCCGCUGCAGAGUUUGAUCCUGGCUCAGGAUGAACGCUGGCGGCAUGCCUAAGACAUGCAAGUCGAACGAGAUGGCCCAUUGAAGAUUGAGUGCUUGCACGAUUUCGGAUUUGGAUUUUCCAUCUAGUGGCGGACGGGUGAGUAACACGUGGGUGACCUACCUUUGAGUUUGGGAUAACUACUGGAAACGGUAGCUAAUACCGAAUAACAUACAGUUUCGUUUCUGUAUUAAAAGAUGCUUUCAAGCAUUGCUCAUAGAUGGGCCUGCGGCGUAUUAGCUAGUUGGUGGGGUAAUGGCCUACCAAGGCAACGAUGCGUAGCCGGACUGAGAGGUUGAACGGCCACAUUGGGACUGAGACACGGCCCAAACUCCUACGGGAGACAGCAGUUAGGAAUAUUCGUCAAUGGGGGAAACCCUGAACGAGCAAUGCCGCGUGAGUGAUGAAGGUCCUUUGGAUUGUAAAACUCUGUUGUAUGGGAAGAAUGACCAAACUAGGAAAUGAGUUUGGAGUGACGGUACCAUGCCAGAAAGCUCCGGCUAACUACGUGCCAGCAGCCGCGGUAAUACGUAGGGAGCGAGCGUUAUCCGGAUUUAUUGGGCGUAAAGGGUGCGUAGGCGGUUUGUUAAGUAUGAAAUUAAAGCCUGGGGCUUAACUCCAGUUCGUUUCAUAAACUGGCAGACUUGAGUAUGGAAGAGGUAAACGGAAUUUCUAGUGUAGCGGUGAAAUGCGUAGAUAUUAGAAGGAACACCAGUGGGCGAAGGCGGUUUACUGGGCCAUUACUGACGCUGAGGCACGAAAGCGUGGGGAGCAAAUAGGAUUAGAUACCCUAGUAGUCCACGCCGUAAACGAUGAGUACUAAGUGUUGGAUUUUUUCAGUGCUGAAGUUAACAUAUUAAGUACUCCGCCUGAGUAGUACGGUCGCAAGGCUGAAACUCAAAGGAAUUGACGGGCACCCGCACAAGCGGUGGAGCAUGCUGUUUAAUUCGAAGAUACGCGAAGAACCUUACCUAGACUUGACAUCCCGCUGACCGUUCUGGAAACAGAAUUUUUUCCUUCGGGAAACAGCGGUGACAGGUGGUGCAUGGUUGUCGUCAGCUCGUGUCGUGAGAUGUUCGGUUAAGUCCGAUAACGAGCGCAACCCUUUUCCUUAGUUGCUAACAUUUAGUUGAGAACCCUAAGGAUACUGCCGGUGAUAAACCGGAGGAAGGUGGGGAUGACGUCAAAUCAUCAUGCCCCUUACGUCUAGGGCUACAGGCGUGCUAUAAUGGCCAGUAUAAUAAGUCGCAAUACCGUGAGGUGGAGCUAAUCUCAAAAGCUGGUCCCAGUUCGGAUUGAAGUCUGCAACUCGACUUCAUGAAGCUAGAAUCGCUAGUAAUCCCGAAUCAGAAUGUCGGGGUGAAUACGUUCCCGGGUGUUGUACACACCGCCCGUCACGCCACGAGAGUUUGUAAUACCUGAUAACGGUAGCCUAACCUUUUAGGAGGGGGCCGAUUAAGGUAGGACAAGCGAUUGAGGUGAAGUCGUAACAAGGUAACCCGGGCGGCCGCU
rnacentral:rRNA from 1 species